UCCGAGUUGUCCCCGGCAGUCCCCUUAGAGUCCCCGGCAUUACCCGCUGGCUCUCGACUUUACGAGUCGUUCCCCUUUCGGGGUUCUACUUCCAGCAUGUCAAGCCUAGGUGAGGUUCUUCGCGUUGCAUCGAAUUAAACCACACGCUCCGCUGCUUGUGCGGGCCCCCGUCAAUUCCUUUGAGUUUUAAUCUUGCGACCGUACUCCCCAGGCGGACGACUUCGCGCGUUAGCUGCGUUACUAAGGGAUUUAACUCCCCCAACAACUAGUCGUCAUCGUUUAGGGCGUGGACUAC
rnacentral:misc_RNA from 1 species